rnacentral:rRNA from 1 species
UACGGGGGUGGCAAGCGUUACUCGGAAUUAUUGGGUGUAAAGGGCAAGUAGGCGGCCCAUUAAGUGAGGGGUGAAAUCCUGCGGCUUAACCGCAGAAAUGCCUUUCAAACUAAUGGGCUUGAGGCCGAUAGGGGGAAACGGAAUUAGCAGUGUAAGGGUGAAAUCUGUAGAUAUUGCUAAGAACACCAGCGGCGAAGGCGGUUUCCUGGAUCGGAUCUGACGCUAAAUUGCGAAAGCUAGGGGAGCAAACAGG